UUUUUGAAAAUAAUAUAAAGUCUAACCUGCCCACUGAUUUUAUUAAAGGGCCGCGGUAUAUUGACUGUGCAAAGGUAGCAUAAUCAUUUGUCUUUUAAUUGAAGGCUAGAAUGAAUGGUUGAAUGAAGUAUUAACUGUCUCACUUUAAAAAUUUAAAAAUUUAAUUUUUUAGUUAAAAAGCUAAAAUAUUUUUAGAGGACGAGAAGACCCUAUAGAUCUUUAUAAUUUAAUUUAAUUAAAAUUUAGUUUAAUAUAAUUUAUUUAAAUAAAAAUUAUUUUAUUGGGGUGAUAGGAAAAUUUAAUUAACUUUUUUUAUUUUAAAACAUUGAUAUAUGAAUAUUUGAUCCUUUAUUAAAGAUUAUAAAUUUAAGUUACCUCAGGGAUAACAGCGUAAUUUUUUUAGAGAGUUCAUAUCGAUAAAAAAGAUUGCGACCUCGAUGUUGAAUUAAAGGUUAUUUUUAAAUGUAGAAGUUUAAAGUUUAAGUCUGUUCGACUUUUGAAUCUUU
rnacentral:rRNA from 1 species